rnacentral:rRNA from 1 species
CCUACGGGGCGCAGCAGUGGGGAAUAUUGGACAAUGGGCGAAAGCCUGAUCCAGCCAUGCCGCGUGUGUGAAGAAGGCCUUCGGGUUGUAAAGCACUUUCAGUGGGGAAGAAAGCCUUGGGGCUAAUACCCUCGAGGAAGGACAUCACCCACAGAAGAAGCACCGGCUAACUCCGUGCCAGCAGCCGCGGUAAUACGGAGGGUGCGAGCGUUAAUCGGAAUUACUGGGCGUAAAGCGCGCGUAGGCGGUCUGAUAAGCCGGUUGUGAAAGCCCCGGGCUCAACCUGGGAACGGCAUCCGGAACUGUCAGGCUAGAGUGCAGGAGAGGAAGGUAGAAUUCCCGGUGUAGCGGUGAAAUGCGUAGAGAUCGGGAGGAAUACCAGUGGCGAAGGCGGCCUUCUGGACUGACACUGACGCUGAGGUGCGAAAGCGUGGGUAGCAAACAGGAUUAGAUCCCCAGUAGUC